AUUGAACGCUGGCGGAAUGCUUUACACAUGCAAGUCGAACGGCAGCAUGGACUUCGGUCUGGUGGCGAGUGGCGAACGGGUGAGUAAUGUAUCGGAACGUGCCCAGUCGUGGGGGAUAACGUAGUGAAAAUUACGCUAAUACCGCAUACGAUCUAUGGAUGAAAGCGGGGGAUCGCAAGACCUCGCGCGAUUGGAGCGGCCGAUAUCAGAUUAGGUAGUUGGUGGGGUAAAGGCCCACCAAGCCAACGAUCUGUAGCUGGUCUGAGAGGACGACCAGCCACACUGGAACUGAGACACGGUCCAGACUCCUACGGGAGGCAGCAGUGAGGAAUUUUGGACAAUGGGCGAAAGCCUGAUCCAGCCAUUCCGCGUGCAGGAUGAAGGCCCUCGGGUUGCAAACUGCUUUUGUACAGAACGAAAAGGUUUCUACUAAUACUAGGAGCUCAUGACGGUACUGUAAGAAUAAGCACCGGCUAACUACGUGCCAGCCGCCGCCGUAAUAC
rnacentral:rRNA from 1 species